UACGGGGGGAACAAGCGUUGUUCGGAAUUACUGGGUUUAAAGCGCGUGUAGGCGGGAAGGCAAGUCCGUUCGUGAAAUCCCCCGGCUCAACCGGGGAACUGCGUCGGAAACUGUCUUUCUAGAGUAUGGAAGAGGAAAGUGGAAUUCCAGGUGUAGCGGUGAAAUGCGUAGAUAUCUGGAAGAACACCGGUGGCGAAGGCGGCUUUCUGGUCCAAUACUGACGCUGAGACGCGAAGGCUAGGGGAGCAAACAGG
rnacentral:rRNA from 1 species